rnacentral:rRNA from 1 species
UAACAAUGCUCUGGCUCUUCGAGUCGGGCAAUUGGAAUGAGAACAAUUUAAAUCCCUU